AACUACACGUAGCUUGCCAACUCUUUCCGAGCAGCUCGCCAAGGAUACAAGGAUCUCAAAAGACACAUCAAAUAUUACACAGAAAAUCAAAUUCCUUGCACAGGAUAAGUCUAAUCAGCAGAGAUGGAAUAGGACGCAAACACCCAGAACACAGCUAGAUGAGGCUGAGUCAGGGCCAGGUCACAGUUGAAUGGUGCUCAUCAGCAGAAUCUUUUGUGUUCCUUCUGCGCAGCAUGUCUGAUGCACAACAAAAAUUUGCUUGUACGUAGCUCGGUUGGCAGAGCAGCCGCCGGCCACGCCAGUAACUUGAGGGUUCAAGUUCCGUUCCUGCUCUUGCCAUCCCAGUCGCUGUCGUUGUGUCCUUGGGCAAGACACUCUACCCACCUGCUCUCCGUGCCACCCACACUGGUUUAAAUAUAGUUUAAAGAUGAAGAUAAUGGGUUUCAUUAUGUAAAGCGCUUUGAGUCCCUAAAAAAAAGUGCCAUAUUUAUAUAAUUCACCUCACACUUAACUAAUAUCGAGAACACAGGUGUCAAACUCAAGGCCCGGGGGCCAGAUCUCGCCCACAACAUAAUCGUAUCUUGCCUGCAAACACCUGGAAAUUAUAUGUGUCA